CUACGCACUCCUACGGGAGGCAGCAUGGGGGAAUAUUGCACAAUGGGCGCAAGCCUGAUGCAGCCAUGCCGCGUGUAUGAAGAAGGCCUUCGGGUUGUAAAAGUACUUUCAAGCAGUGAGGAAGGUGGGUAUGUUAAUAGGCAUAUUCAUUUGACGUUAGCUGCAGAAGAAGCACCGGCUAACUCCGUGCCAGCAGCCGCGGUAAUACGGAGGGUGCGAGCGUUAAUCGGAAUUACUGGGCGUAAAGCGCAUGCAGGUGGUUGUUAAGUCAGAUGUGAAAGCCCGGGGCUCAACCUCGGAAUUGCAUUUGAAACUGGCAAACUAGAGUACUGUAGAGGGGGUAGAAUUUCAGGUGUAGCGGUGAAAUGCGUAGAGAUCUGAAGGAAUACCGGUGGCGAAGGCGGCCCCCUGGACAGAUACUGACACUCAGAUGCGAAAGCGUGGGGAGCAAACAGGAUUAGAUACCCUGGUAG
rnacentral:rRNA from 1 species